CCUACGGGGGGCAGCAGUGGGGAAUAUUGGACAAUGGGGGGAACCCUGAUCCAGCCAUGCCGCGUGUGUGAAGAAGGCCCUCGGGUUGUAAAGCACUUUCAGUGAGGAAGAACGCCUGGUGGUUAAUACCCAUCAGGAAAGACAUCACUCACAGAAGAAGCACCGGCUAACUCCGUGCCAGCAGCCGCGGUAAUACGGAGGGUGCGAGCGUUAAUCGGAAUUACUGGGCGUAAAGCGCGCGUAGGUGGCUUGAUAAGCCGGUUGUGAAAGCCCCGGGCUCAACCUGGGAACGGCAUCCGGAACUGUCAAGCUAGAGUGCAGGAGAGGAAGGUAGAAUUCCCGGUGUAGCGGUGAAAUGCGUAGAGAUCGGGAGGAAUACCAGUGGCGAAGGCGGCCUUCUGGACUGACACUGACACUGAGGUGCGAAAGCGUGGGUAGCAAACAGGAUUAGAUACCUGUAGUC
rnacentral:rRNA from 1 species